rnacentral:rRNA from 1 species
GACGAACGCUGGCGGCGUGCUUAACACAUGCAAGUCGAACGGAAAGGCCCCUUUGGGGGUACUCGAGUGGCGAACGGGUGCGUAACACGUGCGUAACCUGCCCUUGCCUUCGGGAUAACUUCAGGAAACUGGGGCUAAUACCGGAUAGGAAUCCUUUCUGCAUGGUGGGGGUUGGAAAGCUUCGGCGGUUUUGGAUGUCCUCGCUGCGUAUCUGCUUGUUGGUGGGGUAGUGGCUUACCAAGGCUUUUUCGGGUAGCCGGCCUGAGAGGGCGACCGGCCACAUUGGGACUGAGAUAAGGCCCAGACUCCGACGGGAGGCAGCAGUGGGGAAGAUUGAACAAGGGGCGGAAGGCGGAUGAAGAAAGGCCGCGGGCGGGAUGACGGCCUUCGGGGUGUAAAACGCAUUCAGCAGGGGCGAAGCUUGUGGUGACGGUACCUGCAGAAGAAGCACCGGCUAACUACGUG